rnacentral:rRNA from 1 species
UUAAUUUGAGAGUUUGAUCCUGGCUCAGGACGAACGCUGGCGGCGUGCCUAAUACAUGCAAGUCGAACGAGCUCUGGUAUUGAUUGGUGCUUGCAUCAUG